CUAUAAUCUUAAUAGUCAUGACUAUAGUCUUAAUAGUCAUGACUAUAGUCUUAAUAGUCAUGACUAUUAAGACCAUAGUCAUGACUAUUAAGA